rnacentral:lncRNA from 1 species
CAGUGUGUGGGGGUGUUUGUCCAGUGUGUGUGUGUGUGUGUUUGUCCAGUGUGUGUGUGUGUGUGUGUGUUUGUCCAGUGUGUGUGUGUGUGUGUGUUUGUCCAGUGUGUGUGUGUGUGUGUGUGUCCAGUGUGUGUGUGUGUGUGUGUGUGUGUCCAGUGUGUGUGUGUGUGUCCAGUGUGUGUGUGUGUGUCCAGUGUGUGUGUGUGUGUCCAGUGUGUGUGUGUGUGUGUCCAGUGUGUGUGUGUGUGUGCCCAGUUUGUGUGUCCAGUGUGUGUGUUUGUGUGUGUUUGUGUGUGUGUGUUUUGUGUGUGUCCAGUGUGUGUGUGUUUGUGUGUGUGUGUGUGUUUUUGUGUGUGUGUGUGUGUGUGUGUGUGUGUUUGUCCAGUGUGUGUGUGUGUGUGUGUGUUUGUCCAGUGUGUGUGUGUGUGUGUGUUUGUCCAGUGUGUGUGUGUGUUUGUCCAGUGUGUGUGUGUGUUUGUCCAGUGUGUGUGUGUGUGUGUUUGUCCAGUGUGUGUGUGUGUGUGUGUGUGUUUGUCCAGUGUUUGUGUGUGUGUGUCCAGUGUGUGUGUGUGUGUGUCCAGUGUGUGUGUGUGUGUGUCCAAGUGUGUGUGUGUGUGUGUCCAUGUGUGUGUGUGUGUGUGUCCAGUGUGUGUGAGUCCAGUGUGUGUGAGUCCAGUGUGUGUGUGUGUGUGAGUCCAGUGUGUGUGUGUUUGUCCAGUGUGUGUGUGUGUGUGUUUGUCCAGUGUGUGUGUGUGUGUGUGUGUGUCCAGUGUGUGUGUGUGUGUGUGUGUGUCCAGUGUGUGUGUGUGUGUGUGUCCAGUGUGUGUGUGUGUGUCCAGUGUGUGUGUGUGUGUCCAGUGUGUGUGUGUGUGUCCAGUAUGUGUGUGUGUGUGUCCAGUGUGUGUGUGUCCAGUGUGUGUGUGUGUCCAGUGUGUGUGUGUGAGUCAGUGUGUGUGUGUGUGUGUGUUUGUCUAGUGUGUGUGUCCAGUGUGUGUGUGUCUGUGUGUAUCCAGUGUUUGUGUGUGUGUGUGUCCAGUGUGUGUGUUUGUCCACUUUGUUUGUCCAGUGUGUGUGUGUGUGUGUGUCCAGUGUGUGUGUGUGUGUGUGUGUGUGUAUUUUUGUUUGACAGUGUGUGUGUGUGUGUGUGUGUGUGUGUGUGUGUGUGUGUGUGUGUGUCCA